CAAUCCCACCACUCCAAACCCUUCCAGAUCCAUUUUUGGUGCUCCAAACCCUUCCCAGAUCCAAUCCCACCACUCCAAACCCUUCCAGAUCCAUUCUCACUGCUCCAAACCCUGCCCAGAUCCAUUCCUGGUCCUCCAAACCCUUCCAGAUCCAAUCCCAUCACUCCAAACCCUUCCCAGAUCCAUUCCUGGUGAUCCAAACCCUUCCAGAUCUAUUCCUGGUGCUCCAAACCCUUCCCAGCUCCAUUCCUGGUGAUCCAAACCCUUCCCAGACCCAUUCCUGGUCCUCCAAACCCUUCCCAGAUCCAAUCCUGGUGCUCCAAACCCUUCCAGAUCCAUUCCUGGUCCUCCAAACCCUUCCCAGAUCCAUUUUUGGUGCUCCAAACCCUUCCAGAUCCAUUCCUGGUCCUCCAAACCCUGCCCAGAUCCAUUCCUGCUGCUCCAAACCCUUCUCAGAUCCAAUCCUGGUGAUCCAAACCCUCCCUAGAUCCGUUUCCACCACUCCAAACCCUUCCCAGAUCCAUUCCCACCACUCCAAACCCUUUCCAGAUCCAUUCCUGGUGCUCCAAACCCUUCCCAGAUCCAUUUUUGGUGCUCCAAACCUUUCCCAGAUCCAAUCCCACCACUCCAAACCCUUCCCAGCUCCAUUCCUGGUGCUCCAAACCCUUCCCAGCUCCAUUCCUGGUGAUCCAAACCCUUCCAGACCCAUUCCUCAUGGUCCAAACUGUUCCAGAUCUAUUCCUGGUGAUCCAAACCCUUCCCAGAUCCAUUUUUAAUGCUCCAAACCCUUCCCAGAUCCAUUCCUGGUGCUCCAAACCCUUCCCAGAUCCACUCCUGGUCCUCCAAACCCUUCCCAGAUCCAUUCCUGGUGCUCCAAACCCUUCCCAUUUCCAUUCCUCACGGUCCAAACCCUUCCUAGAUCCAUUCCCACCACUCCAAACCCUUCCAGAUCCAUUCCUGGUGCUCCAAACCCUUCCUAGAUCCAUUCCCAUCACUCCAAACCCUUCCAGAUCUAUUCCUGGUGCUCCAAAUCCUUCCCAUUUCCAUUCCUCAUGGUCCAAACCCUUCCAGAUCCAUUCCCACCACUCCAAACCCUGCCCAGAUCCAUUCCUGGUGAUCCAAACCCUUCCCAGAUCCAAUCCCACCACUCCAAACCCUUCCCAGAUCCAUUCCUGGUCCUCCAAACCCUUCCAGAUCCAUUCCUGGUGCUCCAAACCCUUCCCAGAUCCAUUUUUGCUGCUCCAGCCCCUCCAGGUCAUGAAGGUCCCACUCCUGCUGUCCCCUGCCCAGAAAUCCAAAAUUCCCAGUGCCAAAUCCUCCGUUUUCCAUGGAUCCCACCCAAACUUGUGUCUCUUUUCCUGUCAGACCCUUCCAGGAGCCGUCUCAGAUCCUCAUUUUUCUCAUGGAUGUUCAGAGUUUUCUCCACCUCCUCCAGCUGGGAAAGGUGAAGGAGCUGAGAAAUCCUCAUCUUUAAUUAUUCUGGAAUUCUGGGUUUUCUCAUUAUUCUGUAAUUCUGGAUUUUCUCAUUAUUCUGGAAUUCUGGGUUUUCUCUUUAUUCUGGAAUUCUGGAUUUUUCUCAUUAUUCUGGAAUUCUGGAUUUUCUCAUUAUUCUGGGUUUUCUCUUUAUUCUGGGUUUUCUGGGUUUUCUCUUUAUUCUAGGUUUUCUCUUUAUUCUGGAAAUCUGAGUUUUCUCUUUAUUCUGGGUUCUCUCUUUAUUCUGGAUUUUCUCAUUAUUCUGGAAUUCUGGAUUUUCUCAUUAUUCUGGAAUCCUGGGUUUUCUCUUUAUUCUGGAUUUUCUCUUUAUUCUGAGUUUUCUCUUUAUUCUGGAAUUCUGGGUUUUCUCAUUAUUCUGUAAUUCUGGAUUUUCUCAUUAUUCUGGAAUUCUGGGUUUUCUCAUUAUUCUGGAUUUUCUCAUUAUUCUGGAAUUCUGGAUUUUCUCUUUAUUCUGUAAUUCUGGGUUUUCUCUUUAUUCUGGAAUUCUGGGUUUUCUCUUUAUUCUGGAUUUUCUCAUUAUUCUGUAAUUCUGGAUUUUCUUAUUAUUCUGGAAUUCUGAGUUUUCUCUUUAUUCUGGAAUUCUGGAUUUUCUCUUUAUUCUGGAUUUUCUCUUUAUUCUGGAUUUUCUCUUUAUUCUGGAAUUCUGGAUUUUCUCAUUAUUCUGGAAUUCUGGAUUUUCUCAUUAUUCUGAGUUUUCUCUUUAUUCUGGAAUUCUGGNGUGGGCGCUGCCAGAAUGGGGUUCCACAGGUUUGGGGUUUCACAGGUGUGUUGGGUGUCACUGGGUUUUGGGGUGUCACAAGUGUGAUACCACAGGAGCGUCACCAAACCCAUCUCCAUCCUUCAUCUCCGUCCCUCAUCUCCAACCUUCAUCUCUGUCCCUCAUCUCCAACCUUCAUCUUCAGUUUUCAUCUCCAACCUUCAUCUUCAGUUUUCAUCUCCAUCCCUCAUCUCCAUCCCUCAUCUCCAACCUUUUUCUCCAUCCCUCAUCUCCAACCUUCAUCUCCAACCUUCAUCUCCAGCCUUCAUCUCCAACCUUCAUCUCCAACCUUCAUCUCCAUCCUUCAUCUCCAUCCCUCAUCUCCAACCUUCAUCUCCAUCCUUUUUCUCCAUCCCUCAUCUCCAACCUUCAUCUUCAGCCUUCAUCUCCAUCCCUCAUCUCCAACCU
rnacentral:lncRNA from 1 species